UCCAUGAUGCCUGCAGGUUGAUGUUGAAGGGGGUUCGAUCCGUGCGUGGCUCGAGUGAAAUCCAUGGGCGAGAUUGGAGGACGUACGGGGGUUCGAUUUGUGCGUGGCUCGGGUGAAAUCGGUGAGCGAGCUUGCAGGUUGGAGCGCGGGGGCUUGAUUUGUGCGUGUUUCGGGGUGAAAUCCGUGAGCGAGCUUGGAGCACGGCGGUUCGAUUUGGCUGCCUGGUGACUAUGGGUUUGAUCCCCUGGGGCUCGGGAAGCAGCCUAAGGACCUGAAGUGGUACGUCGAGGCUGAGAUCGUGCACUGCUGGUUUGCCAUGGCAGGGGUUGCCGGCAUCCUCGGAACUGAUAGUCUAGGAAAUGGCAAACACAGCUAUCCACUUGAAUCUGGAAAUGGCAAAUCUGUUUGGUUUGCUUUCUUGACUUGAUAGGAUCGUGAUUUCGUGGUCGAGCCUAUGUCAACCACUGGUUCCACUCAGCCGAGCAGGCCAGACAUAAGGUCUUCACCUUCAGCAUCCAGUGAGAGUGUCAGGGCUCGCAAUUCAGGUUCUAGUUCCAGAUCAGCUGCCCCACCACCAGCAGCACCACAAGCAGGGGCUGCAAACCCUUUACGUUUCGAUGCAAAGACUAUACAUUUCUCCGUAAAUGCCUGGGCACUCAGGAAGGUGCCAAGGAGAUGCUGGACCAAGGCGUGGAGGCACUACGAGCUGAAGAGCACGUAGCUGCAGAUGCUGGAGGCCGACCCGGUGAGCCGAGGAUUGGAGGUAGCGCUGAUUGGUGUUUUUAUGGAGAGAUAGGAUGCCACUGUUUGGUGUUUUUAUGCAUUUUGGUUUGCUUGUAACUGUGUUUGCACUAGCUGGGAGUAAGUGACUUUGCAAGAAGUGUAGGUGUUUUAAUUGAAGGCAUGAAAAGCCAUGACAAUAUGUAUGCUCUUACAGGAUGUGCUCUAAUGCUGCUGGUUUAUUAUAAAUCUUGGAUUAGUAAUGAUGUGCAAUGCUGCUGGUUUAUUGCA